rnacentral:rRNA from 1 species
UACGUAGGGUGCAAGCGUUAUCCGGAAUUAUUGGGCGUAAAGAGCUCGUAGGCGGUUUGUCGCGUCUGCUGUGAAAACCCGAGGCUCAACCUCGGCCUGCAGUGGGUACGGGCAGACUAGAGGUAGGCAGGGAGAGCGGAACUCCUGGUGUAGCGGUGGAAUGCGCAGAUAUCAGGAAGAACACCAGUGGCGAAGGCGGCUACCUGGACCAGCACUGACACUGGAGGCAACGAAAGCGUGGGGAGCAAACAGG